rnacentral:tRNA from 1 species
GGCAAGAUGGCCGAGUGGUCUAAGGCGUUGGAUUUAGGCUUUCAAGUCCUCCGGGCUUAAAGGUGUAUUUCCUCCAAUCCGAAAGGGCGAGGGUUCGAAUCCCUCUCUUGUCA